ensembl:lncRNA
GCAUCUAUUUGAUUUGGUUUAACAUAAUACAUUUUAAAAAUGCAUUUAUUCAAAUUGCUUAGAAUCAUUGUGAAAACAGUUUAAAAUGAUGAAACAUGCUUAAAAUGACUAGCUGUGGAACAAGCAAUAUUUAGUUCCCUUUCAUAUAUGAGAGUGAAACAAAUUGGAUAUGAUAAUAAACAGAUACAAACCAGGUUAUUGUGUAUUUAAAUAUUCAGUUUAUUAGUACUGUUACUGAAAUCUGACCUGUUUCAUUUACAUAUGACUGACAAAUAAGCAUCACAUUAAGUUACAAUACAAUUCAAUUCACGUUUAUUUGUAUAGUGCUUUUCAGAAUACAAAUCGUUACAAAGCAGCUUCAGAGUCUCUACAUUAUAGGAUUUGUUUAAAUUGUGAAUUUUAUAUGCAAUUCAAAUUCCUACAUCUUAAAUUUAGAUCUAAACAUGACUUGGUCUUAUGCAGAAUUGAGUCAGUAAUGUCCAAUCAAGCCUAAUUAUUAGUGCUCUUCUUUUUUGGCAUUAAACUUGGCUGUUAAUUAGUGCUGCAAAUAGGAAUAGCACUUCAAAUCAUGCAAAACAGCCUCUUGUUGAAGUGAAGUGUGGUUGAUUUUCAUCUGCUGGAUGAUAAAACAGUUGAAAAAAAAAAAAAAUCCCAUCAAAUGCCUUGAUUAAGGAAGGGACACAAGCCACUUCUAGGGACCAAAAUAAAUCAUUUCUUGAGGCUGGGUUCUUAAUUUGGUCUACAAUGCAACCACCUUGCAACUGCAUAGCAAUAAGCUCUCAGAACAACUUAGCAACUAAUCAGCAAUACUCAGGCAACCACAAUAACAUUAGCAGUGAGAUUUGCAUGGGCCAUUAGUCAAAAAAUAAGGUUAUAAUUCACUACAAAUUAUAAUAAAACAAAAUGUUGGUGUUUUUUCAACAGUUGGGGGCACUUGCAAAUAUAUAGGGUUGGGAAUGUCAAAUAUUGUCAGUGGUAAAGUUACAGAUGGUAAAUUACACUGAAUGUUGAUCUUGUUCCACUAGUUCAACCUGCACUGCUGGAACAUUUUCACAGCAUACACCAAUCAAAUUAAUGCAGUGUGGCAAACAAGAUGCAUCAAAACUGUGAAUACACAGCCUCAAGUGAGAAGAAAAGGUGACAGAGGCAGGAAAUUAGUCUUUUUAGGGAACACUGAUCAUCUUCUGUGAUCAUCAGGUGAGACACAUUUCUGCACCAACAAAGAUGGUGAUAUACUGUAUGAUGUUUGCUUCUCUGCAUUUCAGUAAAUUCGAGAUGCAUUCAACACCGAGUUCACCUUGAGGUCAUGCAUUUGCGGUUUUCUUAUACUUUACUGGAAAUAUGAAUCAUGUCAGCAGUAUCGGAGAACAGUCAUCAACUGUUUAAUGAAAGCAGAAGGGAAAUGUGUCCAAGGCUGAAGUAACCUCCACUUAUCUAGGAGUGGAGUGGACUUAUAUAGUGAUGGAUGGUUCACACGUGUCUCUCUGUCACGGCAUCAUCUUUAAUCAUGUCACGGUUGACUUUUCAUUCAGUCAUUUAUGUUCUUGCUCAGGCGGUCAGGAUAUUAAAUAUGGUGUCAUAUACAGUACAGCUUUGGCCUAAUAUGGUGGUAAUAUGUAAUAAUGCUCACAUUUGGAGCAUUGAGAGGUCAGAUUGUACAUAAAGAAG